AGGAGGAAGCUCACAAGCGUGAAGGUAACAUAGAUAAUGCAAAAUAUUAUUAUCCUCAAGCCUAAAUGAUUUCUUAAUCUUUUUCUUAAUUCAGCUUGUUGAACUGUUUUUUUCUGAAAUUGAUUAGUGUUUUUUUAGUUAGUUUCUCCUCUUUAUAUGUGAAAUCCUUCAAUUUUUAUGCAACUUAGCUUCCAAGUUACUGUUGUGCCUGUGAACUAUAUCUUUCCUUUUCUUUCAUUACACCCUGAAUCCAUACCAACUUAUUACCAACAUUGUUUUAAACCAUCUUUUAAAAAAAAUUAUACUGAAGUUUUU
rnacentral:misc_RNA from 1 species